rnacentral:lncRNA from 10 species
AGGACGGAAACGCCGAGGAACCCGGCUGAGGCGGCAGACCGUAAAACGAACCCAAAGGGAGCCAUGGACUUGGAGUCUUUCUCCACGCUAUUGAGUAGCAGAACUGGUACUAAAAUGUGGCUCCACCUCACUACAGGAUGGUCAAUUGUUUCCCUAAUUCUGCCUCACAUUUGGAAGUUUCUUAUCAGACUUGGCUCAGGCAAGGAUGAGCCUGAUUUUUCCUAUCUUUCUACCCAAAAUGAUGAUGAUUUUCCCAAGAGCAGCAACCUAUGGACCGCCAGAGAUGGAUGCAAGAGGAAGGGUGAUAAGGUGGCACAUCAUGCCCAGCAGCUAAUUAACACUCUGGAGAAGAGAAGUUGGAGACCCUCACUGGGCCUUUUGGCCUCCAGCUACGUUUUUUUUGUUGUUGUUUUUUGUUUUUUUUUUGAGAUGGAGUUUUGCUCUUGUUGCCCAGGCUGGAGUGC